rnacentral:lncRNA from 1 species
GUAACACAACAUUAGUCAAGUCACGACUAACAGCUACUUCUAUAAAAUGUACUUUAAUGGCCCAAAUAGCUACAUAAAUAUGUUCGUUAGGAAUUUUUCUAGGUUAUAUUUUUUCUAAGACCUUUUAAAUCCAGAUUGUUUAACCAAAGCACUGAUAAUAGGAAAUGUUUAAAGUCACUAGUACAUUGACAUACUUUUAAAUGGGUGUUUUAAGAUUGCUUCCCUAUUUAAAAAUUAUGUCUUCUGAGAAUUUUUCUGUGUUCGUCUUUGUGCUUCAUAUCCACCACUGAAAGUGAGAGCAGAGUACUGAGAAUAUCAGCCCUUCAGUAUCUUAGUACCAUCAGUGAAAUGGGACAGUGUGAUUUUAAAUACAUGACUGGGGAGACGAAGAGCAACUGCACGUUAGUUCCUAAAAUUAAAGUUUAAGAAUUGGCAAUGAUACACAAAUGCAUAUGAUAAUAAUUGAACAUUUAGUGUGUAGCUACUCACCCAGUCCCUAUCCUGUGAAUUGUGUGUGUGUUUGUGUCCAAACAUGCCCAGGGGAGGGGAGGCUGUCUACACUCUUGUUUGUGUAAAAUGUAAGGAUAUAUUUUUCACUUUUCUACACCUCUUCAUACAAGACAUGUUCAUUGUGAGAGGUCACAUUUUAAACAGAAGAUAAUGUAUGGAGUAAUUAUUCAUAAUAUACAUUUUUUUAAUAGCUGGAGUCAUGCAUUUCCACUACUACAUUAAAUAUUUAAUUGUUCAAUAUUCAAUUUAUGCUGAGCAAUCUUUGUUAUGUAAUA